UACGUAGGGUGCAAGCGUUGUCCGGAAUUAUUGGGCGUAAAGAGCUCGUAGGCGGUUUGUCGCGUCGAAUGUGAAAACCCGGGGCUCAACCCCGGGCCUGCAUUCGAUACGGGCAGACUAGAGUUCGGUAGGGGAGUCUGGAAUUCCUGGUGUAGCGGUGAAAUGCGCAGAUAUCAGGAGGAACACCGGUGGCGAAGGCGGGUCUCUGGGCCGAUAUUGACGCUGAGGAGCGAAAGCGUGGGGAGCGAACAGG
rnacentral:rRNA from 1 species